AGUGAACUUUGUUUGAAGUGAAAAUCCUUUUAUCCCGAUUUUUAGGGAUAAAAGAUUGUAACGUAUAGCUGGAAAUAGC
rnacentral:sRNA from 1 species